rnacentral:rRNA from 1 species
ACAGCAGUAGCCGCGGUAAAACGUAGGGUGCAAGCGUUAAUCGGAAUUACUGGGCGUAAAGCGUGCGCAGGCGGUUUUGUAAGACAGAGGUGAAAUCCCCGGGCUCAACCUGGGAACUGCCUUUGUGACUGCAAGGCUAGAGUACGGCAGAGGGGGAUGGAAUUCCGCGUGUAGCAGUGAAAUGCGUAGAUAUGCGGAGGAACACCGAUGGCGAAGGCAAUCCCCUGGGCCUGUACUGACGCUCAUGCACGAAAGCGUGGGGAGCAAACAGGAUUAGAUACCCGUAGUCCCUGUCUCUUAUACAC